CGCGGCGUUCGAGUGUGAAUCGAGAUUAAAAGAGUGCCUCAACAAGAUAUUCGAUAGGGGUUCCUCCUAUUCGUGACACGGGACACGUGGCUGGCCUUUUCUCUUCUAACUUCCACUCUUCUCAUCUCCCUCGUUUCUCUCAAACUCUUUAUCCUCUAUACUAAUACUAAUACCAAUACAGCAUAAUAUAAUAAAUAUAAUAAAAUACAUGCACACACAUAUACAUGUAUUAAUCUGGCGAAGAGGCAACCACUUGAACCUGCUGAUCACGCGGAUCACUAACAAUUGGAUGCCCUCGGCGCAAUGCUCACCUGGCUUUUUUUAACUGGUCUUCACUCAAACUGUCUACCACAAGCGUGUCGGCGGUCGUUCUCCUUCCCCAUUUUACCGUGUAUUCGCGGCGGGAAUAAGCGUGGCCAACGACUAUAAGGAAGAGAACCUCUUAAUCGGGGAUCUGGACCUCCGCAGGGCAUUGAGGUCUUAGCCCGUGGCUUCACCCAGCCCCGGUCGGUGUAUCUCGAGAGCCUGACCCCAGACACACCAUCUUCGCAGCUGCUCCAUCUCAGCGAAACAUCACAAAACAAAAAAAUGUCGAGAUUGAUAUUAAUCACUCUAUUGGUCGCCUUAAUGAUGGCUGCAGUGGUCGACGCAUGCGGAGGACCGGAUGACAGGUGUGACAGAUGGCAAUGUUGCCCAGGGUAUCCGUGCAUCGCAGGAUAUUGUCGUGAAUAAGAUAAUUCAAAUGAAUAUUGAUCGACAAAUAUACAUCAAUGAAACUGUAAUAUUUUUUCAAUGAUGCAAUAAAAAUUACCAGAUUAAUCACAAUAA